UGUCCUAGAAAGCAAACAAGACACUCACUUUUCUGGCAUAUGAAUACACACAUAUUUCCAUGUGAUUUCCUUGUUCAUGAACAAAGUUUGAGAGAAAAUAACACAUUUUGAUGAGUUCAAACAUACAUACACAGGAGCGCAUAGGAAUACUGCACAGUGACAGUAUCCAAUCCGCCAAGAUUGAAGAAGAUAUAAAAAGUGGAGCUAUUAUACAACAUUUUGCACAUUUGCUGGAUGUCCAAUCAGUUUGGAGUUGAUUCAAGGAAUAAGAGAACUAAAUCGAAAGAUGGGACUUGGACGUCAAGGAUAUUACAAAGCGUACGAUGACGACGAGGAUGAAGAGGACAAACAUGUUUUAGGGCAUGGUACCAAUAAAAAUGCGGUUCCAUGUCAUGAACAGGACUCACAUUAUGUUGCAUCCGUAAUUUUGGCAUCAAAACACAGAUCCACUUCACUCAACAAUUGCUCCGAGUUCGUGUAGUAAAUUCCACAUUGAGAAAAUGUAAAGAUCAAACGAGGUGUCCGAUUUCAAGAGUAACAAGAAAUAAA